GUUUCCUAGUUCCAAGUGCUUUCUGCUAGAGCAUGAGUUUCCAGGAUGGCUUCUGCAUCAACUUCUAAAUAUAAUUCACACUCCUUGGAGAAUGAGUCUAUUAAGAGGACGUCUCGAGAUGGAGUCAAUCGGGAUCUCACUGAGGCUGUUCCUCGACUUCCGGGAGAAACACUAAUCACUGACAAAGAAGUUAUUUACAUAUGUCCUUUCAAUGGCCCCAUUAAGGGAAGAGUUUACAUCACAAAUUAUCGUCUUUAUUUAAGAAGUUUGGAAACGGAUUCUUCUCUAAUACUUGAUGUUCCUCUGGGUGUGAUCUCGAGAAUUGAAAAAAUGGGAGGCGCGACAAGUAGAGGAGAAAAUUCCUAUGGUCUAGAUAUUACUUGUAAAGUA
rnacentral:lncRNA from 1 species